rnacentral:rRNA from 1 species
AAUAUUUGACAAUGGGCGAAAGCCUGAUCCAGCCAUGCCGCGUGUGUGAAGAAGGNCUNNGGAUUNUNAAGCACUUUAAGUUUNNNNNAAGGGGUUGAAGCUAAUACCUUCAAUCUUUGACGUUACCAACAGAAUAAGCACCGCCUAACUCUGUGCCAGCAGCCGCGGUAAUACAGAGGGUGCAAGCGUUAAUCGGAAUUACUGGGCGUAAAGCGCGCGUAGGUGGUUCGUUAAGUUGGAAGUGAAAGCCCCGGGCUUAACCUGGGAAUUGCUUUCAAAACUGACGAGCUAGAGUACGGUAGAGGGUAGUGGAAUUUCCUGUGUAGCGGUGAAAUGCGUAGAUAUAGGAAGGAACAUCAGUGGCGAAGGCGACUACCUGGGCUAAUACUGACACUGAGGUGCGAAAGCGUGGGGAGCAAACAGG